GCUUCUGAGGUUAAAUCACUUUCUUGACCUCAAAGAUCUUUCAAGAAGUAUUCAUAAGAAGCUGUCUCUGGAGCCUUCCACUUUAAGCUCCUAUUAUGACCAUUUGCAGAUUAUUUGGAUGGCAAAAUGAAGUCUACACAACUGGCUCCCAGGAAUCACUUAUUUCAGAUUAGACUCUUCAAGUGUAAACACAAAGUCACUAAGUACUUUCAGCACACUGUGCUUGUCACAGGUCCUUCCAGAGCUCAUUUUUUGUGUUUGAUUAUAUUCAUUGAAGAAUCAGAAAAGGGCAGAAGGAAGAGUAGAAGAAAAAAAGGAUGAGGAUGAUGAAGAAGAGGAGGAAUGACGAAGACA